rnacentral:rRNA from 1 species
AGUGAACGCUGGCGGCAGGCCUAAUACAUGCAAGUCGAACGGCAGGACAGUAAGCUUUCGCCUCUACGGUUGGCGACGGGCGGACGGGUAACGCAUAGAUCGCCUUCUUAUUAUACUUGGGUAACUUCGGAGAGAAGCUUACGCUACUAGCUCAUAUGAUGUACCGCUGAAAUCAAUGGAGCUUCAGAGCUUUCGUGUCUCAUAUAGAUGGAGCCGCGCCGCAUUAGCUAGUUGGUAAGGUAACGGCCUACCAAGGCAACGAUGCGUAGCCGAGCUGAGAGGGUGAUCGGCCACACUGGAACUGAGACACGGUCCAGACUCCUACGGGAGGCAGCAGUAGGGAAUAUUCGACAAUGGGCGCAAGCUUGAUGCAGCCAUGCCGCGUGAGUGAAGAAGGUCUUCGGAUUGUAAAGCUCUGUUAUUGGGGAAGAAAAACUGCAGAUUAAUACACGGCCGUUCUGACGGUACCCAAACAAUAAGCAACGGCUAACUACGUG